rnacentral:rRNA from 1 species
UACGUAGGGGGCUAGCGUUGUCCGGAAUCAUUGGGCGUAAAGCGCGCGUAGGCGGCCCGGUAAGUCCGUUGUGAAAGUCAAAGGCUCAACCUUUGAAUGCCGAUGGAUACUGCCGGGCUAGAAUCCGGAAGAGGCGAGUGGAAUUCCUGGUGUAGCGGUGGAAUGCGCAGAUAUCGGGAGGAACACCGGUGGCGAAGGCGGUUCUCUGGGCCUUACCUGACGCUGAGGAGCGAAAGCGUGGGGAGCGAACAGG